GCUUUACUGUUGACAUUGUCCUGACCCAGUCUUCAGCUUCCUUGCCUGUGUCUCUAGGGCAAAAGGCAGCCAUCUCCUGCAGGGCCAGCGAAAGUGUCAUUGUAUCUGGUUAUAGUUAUAUCAACCUGUACCAACAGAAACUGGGACAGUCCUCCCCACUCCUCAUCUAUGGAGCAUCCAACCUAAAAUCUGGGGUCCCUGCCAGGUUCAGUGGCAGUGGGUCUGGGACAGACUUCACCCUCACCAUCCAUCCUGUGGAGGCUGAUGAUGCUGCAACCUAUCACUGUCAACAGACUAGGAAGCUUCCUCCCACAGUGCUCCAGGGCUCCACAAAAUCCUCCUAG